rfam:Picea glauca, whole genome shotgun sequence.
GUUUCUUUGGAGACAUCUGAUGAAAUUGGAACAAUACAAAGAAGAUUAGCAUGGCCCCUGCACAAGGAUGACAUGUACAAAUCGAGAAAUGGUCCAAAUUUUU